rnacentral:lncRNA from 1 species
GAGAUUCCAGUCCCACAGUCUUACCACCACUGUUUGAACGGAAGCCCCAGUCUUACUCAGCAUGGGCUGUUUGGUUUUGUUCAGAGGAAUAAAUCCAAUAGGAUAACAUGCUCCCUGUAGACACUGGUGACACUACUGAAUGUAAACAUCUGGAUUUACUUUAUAUUUUCAAUAAAAUUAUUCAUUUUAUUUCUGAUUCAUUAAACAGUAAAACACAAUUAAAACAGAGCUCCAAAUUUAAGCAGCUUUUGCUGUAUUUUUAGAAGUAUUCUAUUAUGAAUUUAUUAUGAAAUAUACCUCUUGUCCCUUCCUUCCCUACCAACUGCUUUCUUGUAUUUAUCAUUACUACAAUGAUUAUAGCCAAAAUCAAAUUUGUUUGUUUUUGGUUUUUUUCAUUUUAAAAGAAUAUCAUAUUGACAGGUUUUAAGCCUGAACACCUUUGUUUUUAAAGCCACUGGAAGGGUUAUAUUCAUUAAGGUAUGUGAGUCACAUGCUGCAAAUCAGCAGUGGGGGAGAUGUCUGUAAGUAUCUUCCUGCCUCAUAUACAAAUGGGGUUUAGCCUGCAAAUAGUGGAGGCUAAAGUAAAGCAGGGAGAAUAAACUGCUAAAGCCUUAAAUCACUCUAUACCAUAUCACUUGGGAUCAAAUAGGGACCAGCCAGACAACAAUAUGGAAGAAAGAACUAUAGAACUAUAGAACUAUAGAACUAUAGAACUAUAGAACUAUAGAACUAUAGAACUAUAGAACUAUAGAACUAUAGAACUAUAGAACUAUAGAACUAUAGAACUAUAGAACUAUAGAACUAUAGAACUAUAGAACUAUAGAACUAUAGAACUAUAGAACUAUAGAACUAUAGAACUAUAGAACUAUAGAACUAUAGAACUACAGAACUAUAGAAUUAGUUGUGGACAGGUUUUGGAAGCAAACUCUAAAUGGUGGUACUGUCAAAUGUUCAGCCUUUCUGCAGUGCCAGGUGACAGGUUUAUAUUUAAGCUAUCUAUCCACCUGCAAGACAACCAAGAACAGCAGCCUAAAAACCAGCCUAGAAUCAAUCCUACUUCUAGCAUUACUUGCAAAGACAGCUAUUUUGUGAAAUUCUGGACCCACAGCUUGAAUACUCCAAUGCAUGAAGAUCAGCAUCUUUGGGAAUUCCUGUUUCUGGCCACUGUGGGACAGAAAGUGAAGCAUGCAUGUUUCAUGCUUGCAUGUUUAACCCACAAUAAGAUUUCUACAAAUGUAUGCAUCGUAUAAUAGCCACAUAUCCAUCCAGAUUCUGUCCCUUAUUACAAGGCUGGAGCUUCCUGAAGCUUGGUUGAAGCCAUCCCUCAACUCCAACUAAAUAAACAGCUAAUUAUAGCCAUAUAAUGAUGAGUGACAGACUUGCAAAGGAAGACUAUUGAAAAAAAAAUAAAAUUAGUGGAUAAAUAAACGCUCAAUUUCACUGAGAAAGCAUUCAGUUUUAUUGCAAGCUGUUGACUCAGUAUUUUAAUACUGAACAGAAAUGGCAUGUGGA